rnacentral:rRNA from 1 species
AACGAACGCUGGCGGCAUGCCUAACACAUGCAAGUCGAACGAGACCUUCGGGUCUAGUGGCGCACGGGUGCGUAACGCGUGGGAACCUUCCCUUAGGUUCGGAAUAACUCCCCGAAAGGGGUGCUAAUACCGGAUAAUGUCUUCGGACCAAAGAUUUAUCGCCUUUGGAUGGGCCCGCGUUGGAUUAGCUAGUUGGUAGGGUAAAAGCCUACCAAGGCGACGAUCCAUAGCUGGUCUGAGAGGAUGAUCAGCCACACUGGGACUGAGACACGGCCCAGACUCUUACGGGAGGCAGCAGUGGGGAAUAUUGGACAAUGGGCGAAAGCAUGAUGCAGUAAUGCCGCGUGAGUGAUGAAGGCCUUAGGGUUGUAAAGCUCUUUUACCCGGGAUGAUAAUGACAGUACCGGGAGAAUAAGCCCCGGCUAACUACGUG